rnacentral:tRNA from 1 species
CAAAGAAUAGUCUAAUUUAGAACUUUAGCUUUGGGAGUUAAGAGUGGGAGUUAAAAUCUCUCUUCUUUGA